rnacentral:rRNA from 1 species
AUUGAACGCUGGCGGCAGGCCUAACACAUGCAAGUCGAGCGGAUGAAGGUAGCUUGCUCCUGGAUUCAGCGGCGGACGGGUGAGUAAUGCCUAGGAAUCUGCCUGGUAGUGGGGGAUAACGUCCGGAAACGGGCGCUAAUACCGCAUACGUCCUGAGGGAGAAAGUGGGGGAUCUUCGGACCUCACGCUAUCAGAUGAGCCUAGGUCGGAUUAGCUAGUUGGUGGGGUAAAGGCCUACCAAGGCGACGAUCCGUAACUGGUCUGAGAGGAUGAUCAGUCACACUGGAACUGAGACACGGUCCAGACUCCUACGGGAGGCAGCAGUGGGGAAUAUUGGACAAUGGGCGAAAGCCUGAUCCAGCCAUGCCGCGUGUGUGAAGAAGGUCUUCGGAUUGUAAAGCACUUUAAGUUGGGAGGAGGGGCAGUAAGUUAAUACCUUGCUGUUUUGACGUUACCAACAGAAUAAGCACCGGCUAACUUCGUG